rnacentral:rRNA from 1 species
GACGAACGCUGGCGGCGUGCUUAACACAUGCAAGUCGAACGGUGAACUCCGCUUGCGGGGGGAUCAGUGGCGAACGGGUGAGUAACACGUGGGCAACCUGCCCUCAGCUCUGGGAUAACUCCAAGAAAUUGGGGCUAAUACCGGAUAUGACCGCUGACCGCAUGGUCUGGUGGUGGAAAGAUUUAUCGGCUGGGGAUGUGGCCGAGGCCUAUCAGCUUGUUGGUGGGGUAGUGGCCUACCAAGGCGACGACGGGUAGCCGGCCUGAGAGGGUGACCGGCCACACUGGGACUGAGACACGGCCCAGACUCCUACGGGAGGCAGCAGUGGGGAAUAUUGCGCAAUGGGCGAAAGCCUGACGCAGCGACGCCGCGUGGGGGAUGACGGCCUUCGGGUUGUAAACCUCUUUCAGCAGGGACGAAGCGAAAGUGACGGUACCUGCAGAAGAAGCACCGGCCAACUACGUG